rnacentral:lncRNA from 1 species
ACAAGUUAACAUCUAGAAGGCAAUUUGAAUGAGGACUUAGAAAAGUGCCAACUGACUAUUAAGUUCAUCACUGGCGUUUAAACAAUACUAAAGUAUUUUUGCAAUAUUAUAUUGGCUUUGGAGAUAACCAACCAAGAAAAAAGAACAUAAAAGGCUACAUGGAAACCAAGGAGCAUCACGUACAUCCUAUCAGAGUAAUAAAGUGAUAGCCAUAUAAGAUCCCCACAACACAGAUAUUUCACCAUACUAUCAUUACACAAGCAAGACGUAACAGUAUAGUCCAAAGACUCUAAACAAUUCUCUUAUACAAUGGCACAUGUCCAUCAGAAAACAACCAGGAUUACAGUGUAAGAGAGACACUAAGGUACACUGCAGAACUUCGAGAGUCUGCAAAACUCCCUAUGCCUAAAGGCCAAAUUUUGUGACAAAUGACUGGUUAUCUCACCCUCUUCGCCUCUCUUUUUAUUCAUAGGCAACUCAUCUGAUUUAUCAAAUUUUUGCAACACCUACUAAUUAUUAAUACCCGAAAAAAACCAGUCCCCUCGUCAUCGAGGUGAACAAUCUGUAGUUGCAGAUUUGCAGAAAAUAAAGUCCAACAAAGGAUCGCCUCCAAGCCUUCCAACCAUCCUCCCUUUAUUUUUUGCACCAUGAGUUUUGGUUCCCAAGAUCAUGAACUCUUAUAACAAAUGAUAGGGAUAAACCCCAAUUGAAAAGAUAGAUAAUUGCCCAACUUUGAAG